AGGGCCACGCCCCCUGCUGUCCCGGGCCACUCACAACGCGGAGUGAGGACACGUUGGGGGGAGGAUGUACUGUCUGCAAAAUGGCUGAUCCUCAGAGCACGUCAUCCUGCCAGGCACAGAUGAAGAGUGUUGCACAUAAAUUAAACAUCUAUGCAACACAAGGCAUGCAUGGCAAUCCAGUCCACAUGAAUGAGAGCAUUGAUCACCAGGUUACUCCUGCUGAGUAGCAGAAAUGAGGCCUAGGAGGACAGCCUAUACAGUGCCUCAGUAUAGACAAAGAUGAUGCUUAAGUCUAUGUCUACUCUCAUUCUCUCCGGACACCCUACCCCCUUUUACCCGGCACGCUUGCAAAUAUGGGAGUGGAAGAGGCUGCUUCUCAGUGAUGUGUGAGGAAAUUUCUCUCUCUAGUUUAUAAAUUGCUUUGGGAGCCUUCUAGAUGGACAGAGUCACUGCUUCCCAGGAUAGAAUUCCCCAUCACAU